rnacentral:rRNA from 1 species
GUGGGGAAUUUUGGACAAUGGGCGCAAGCCUGAUCCAGCAAUGCCGCGUGUGUGAAGAAGGCCUUCGGGUUGUAAAGCACUUUUGGCAGGAAAGAAAUAGUGCGUGCUAAUACCAUGCGCGAAUGACGGUACCUGCAGAAUAAGCACCGGCUAACUACGUGCCAGCAGCCGCGGUAAGACGUAGGGUGCAAGCGUUAAUCGGAAUUACUGGGCGUAAAGCGUGCGCAGGCGGUUUUGUAAGACAGGUGUGAAAUCCCCGGGCUCAACCUGGGAACUGCACUUGUGACUGCAAGGCUAGAGUGUGUCAGAGGGAGGUGGAAUUCCGCGUGUAGCAGUGAAAUGCGUAGAGAUGCGGAGGAACACCGAUGGCGAAGGCAGCCUCCUGGGAUAACACUGACCCUCAGGCACGAAAGCGUGGGGAGCAAACAGGAUUAGAAACCCCUGUAGUCC